rnacentral:lncRNA from 1 species
CAUCUGGUGUUCUUUACCGUGCAGCUAAAUCCAUGUACACGGGCCUCCAGCGUUUCGGCUCCAUCGAAAUGCGACCGACGAGGCCGCAAUCGAACCCCCGACCUUCGGGUGACCAGCUGAACACCGUAACCGCUUGACCACCGCGGCG